CCUACGGGCGGCAGCAGUGGGGAAUAUUGGACAAUGGGGGGAACCCUGAUCCAGCCAUGCCGCGUGUGUGAAGAAGGCCCUCGGGUUGUAAAGCACUUUCAGUGAGGAAGAACGCCUGGUGGUUAAUACCCAUCAGGAAAGACAUCACUCACAGAAGAAGCACCGGCUAACGCCGUGCCAGCAGCCGCGGUAAUACGGAGGGUGCGAGCGUUAAUCGGAAUUACUGGGCGUAAAGCGCGCGUAGGUGGCUUGAUAAGCCGGUUGUGAAAGCCCCGGGCUCAACCUGGGAACGGCAUCCGGAACUGUCAAGCUAGAGUGCAGGAGAGGAAGGUAGAAUUCCCGGUGUAGCGGUGAAAUGCGUAGAGAUCGGGAGGAAUACCAGUGGCGAAGGCGGCCUUCUGGACUGACACUGACACUGAGGUGCGAAAGCGUGGGUAGCAAACAGGAUUAGAUACCCCUGUAGUC
rnacentral:rRNA from 1 species